rnacentral:rRNA from 1 species
GAUGAACGCUGGCGGCGUGCCUAAUACAUGCAAGUCGAGCGAACAGAUGAGAAGCUUGCUUCUCUGAUGUUAGCGGCGGACGGGUGAGUAACACGUGGGUAACCUACCUAUAAGACUGGGAUAACUCCGGGAAACCGGGGCUAAUACCGGAUAAUCUUUUGAACCGCAUGGCUCAAUAGUGAAAGACGGUUUCGGCUGUCACUUAUAGAUGGACCCGCGCCGUAUUAGCUAGUUGGUAAGGUAACGGCUUACCAAGGCGACGAUACGUAGCCGACCUGAGAGGGUGAUCGGCCACACUGGAACUGAGACACGGUCCAGACUCCUACGGGAGGCAGCAGUAGGGAAUCUUCCGCAAUGGGCGAAAGCCUGACGGAGCAACGCCGCGUGGGUGAUGAAGGUCUUCGGAUCGUAAAACUCUGUUGUUAGGGAAGAACAAAUUUGUUAGUAACUGAACAAGUCUUGACGGUACCUAACCAGAAAGCCACGGCUAACUACGUGCCAGCCGCCGCGGUAA